rnacentral:rRNA from 2 species
UACAACUUUCAGCAACGGAUCUCUUGGCUCUCGCAUCGAUGAAGAACGCAGCGAAAUGCGAUAAGUAAUGUGAAUUGCAGAAUUCAGUGAAUCAUCGAAUCUUUGAACGCACCUUGCGCUCCUUGGUAUUCCGAGGAGCAUGCCUGUUUGA